GGGGCCUUAGCUCAACUGGGAGAGCGCUACACUGGCAGUGUAGAGGUCGAGGGUUCGAGUCCCUUAGGCUCCA
rnacentral:tRNA from 1 species